AAAAUUCUCGUACAAAGAGAUUAAUAGUAUAAAUGACAAACAUAAAAUGAGAGUUAAUAGGAUAUUUCAUUGCGUCAAAUAUAUUAAAAUAGAUUACUUCUUCAACAAAUUCUAUCGUAAUAGUAACCUUACUAACAUCAAUCUUAGUUUGAAUAGUACUCAAGAAGGAUUUCCCUAAUAUAAUGGGUGAUGAAUUUGAAACGCUUCUAUCAUUCAUCUAAAGCACAUAGAAAUUAGUAGGAAAAACUAAUCCAUUAACUUGCACUAAAAUAUUCUCAAUCACCCCAUCUGAAUAAGCAAAUGAAUGAUUAGAUAAUUAAAUUAUUAUCCCCGUUUCUUUUCAAAAGUCCUAAAUUUAGAUAAUCAUAAAUAGAUUUAGAUAUCACAUUAAUAGAAGUCCUAAAUCUAGUAUGAUAUUUUUUAAUUCUAAAAUAUCCAAUCGUACAGGGGAUAGUAAACAUACCUGAAUCCCCACAUUUAAGUGUUAGUUGUCUUUGUAAAAUCACUGAAACAUUCUCAUCUACAUGAUUUGCUCAUCCCCUUUUAAUUUCUUCUUAUUAAUGCACAAGUUCUUAAAAAAAUUUAGCAUAUUUUGAUACUUGUUUGAUUGUUUCAAUAAAGAGAUAUUGAUUUCCACUUCCGGAACAUCUCCAAAAUUUCUUUUUCUUUUUCUUUAACUUGUCGUUUUGACAUCUCCAACCUAUUAGGGAAAGAUUGUGGGUUAGUAUUAAUUUUAAUUGAAGAGUCCAAACUUACCACAAGAGUUGCCUUGUUUAUUUUUUUUUCUUUCAACUCUUUUUCAAUUUGAUUUUCGCUCUUAUCCUUCGAAACUAUAGUUUUGGACCUUUCAAUUUCCUUUCCACUUUGAAGGGUCAUGGCGCUAACGUUCUUAUAAUUCACCUCAAUCUGAGAAAGAAGUCUUCCUUUCUCUUGAGACUACAAGCGAUGUAUUGUAUGGAUCAUAUGACUCAUCUGAUUUUAUAUAUUUCAUAUACUUGGCUUCGUUUUUUGUUGGAAUUGCAAAGUAUUAGAAACCAAUAUUUUUAUCAUAUCUUCUAGAAAUGGUUAUGGAUUAGGAGUAGCGGGUUAAGGUCUUAAUAGAUACUGCAAUUGGAAUCCUUGUUGUCUAUUGGAAAAGAAAUUUUGUUGCUUAUUUUUCCCAUAACUGAAAUUUGGGUGGUCCCUCCAACCUAAAUUGUAUGUGUUGGAAUAAGAAUUAUAUUGUUUGCAUGGUGCAGACACGUUGCUAUCCAUGUUCAUUUGUUCAACACUAUCAUCCUGUAGCAUUGAGCAUUCAUCAGUAAGAUGGCUAGUAUUUUUGCAAAUUUCACAUACUUUGACUUGUUCCCUACUGCCAUCUGUCAAAUCAUAGAUGUUAAUUCAGACAAUUGCACUUGAAGUAUUGAAAUAUUCACCUCGUUCACUCGACGAGUUGGCAUAUCAUCCCAUGUGCCAAAUUAUUGGGAAUUAUCAGCCGUCUCUUCAAUCAAAUCCCAAGUUUAUCAAGGAGUCUUGUUCACUAAGGCACCUUCACUUGUGGCAUUAGUGAUGCUUCUAUUACUAUAGAGAACUAGGGAGGGACAGCCCGCGCGACGCGCAGAAAUUUGGUGGUUGUAAUUCAAGAUAAUUAAUAACUAUUGUUUAAUAAUUUGUAGUAUAAAAAUUGAAGUAUGAUGAUUUUAUCAUGUGAUUUUAAUAGAAAAAACAUAAGUUACAUAGUGAGUUAAUAAAAUAAUGUGCAAUGAAACAUCCUUAUCGUUAUACUAUGUAAGAAUCCGUUGUGAUCAAAGGUUAUAUUUGAAUUUCAACCGCAAAGAUAAAGGUAGUUUGAAAAGAUAAAAAUGUUUAAAGUGCAAUUGAAAAUUAUCCAAAAGUCUCUUCUAAAACUUAUUCAAGAUGAUAAAAUAUUUUAAAGUAUCAAUUAGACCCCUCAUCUCUCGAAUCUAUAUUUCGUGAAAGAUCCCUUAAGUAAUGCUUCUGAUUUCUCCCUUGAUUUAAGCUCAACCAGAAUUAUCAAGUCAAGUUUAUCCAUCAAUCACUUUGCAUCCAAUCUAAUCUAAAAUAAUUUUAUUUUAGACUAACUAUUUAUAUAAUUUGAUGGGCAUAAUACGACUUAAUCACAUGUUUCUUACAGAGAUAAUAAUGCUAAAAAAUAAUAGAUAGAUAGAAAUUUAAGUGAUCUUUUUCAAAGUUUUGUAGAAACUAUUCAGAUUUAGUGUUUUUUGCUAGGAACAUUUCUUUAUAAUCUCAUAAAUAAGUUCAAAUCUACAUAAUUAUUAAAGAUCUGAAUUGAAACUAUCUUGAUUAUAAAAAAUUGGUGCAUGUAAAUAAUAUUUUCUAAAUUUGAAAUCAUAGAAAAUGGUAACUAAAAUCAGAAGAAAUUCCUCAUAUCAAUUUGAAUUGCAAAUUAUAGGUAGAAACUGCUUAAUGAUAUUUUUCAAUGUUUACUUGUAUGAGUAUCCAAUAUAGCAACUCUACUUAAUUGACUCGUUUAAACUAUGGAUAAUAGUUGCUUUAAUCAAAUCAAGAAACAUUAUUUAUCAUUGUACAGCAUAUAAUUAUGACUAAAUGAAUUCAUACAAUGCAAUCAAAAUGGUGCAUAGCUAAAGUAUUUAAACUCAUCAAGUUCCACUGCGAAUUCUUUUAAAUAGCAUAAAAAAUAAUUUUUUUAUAUUUGAAACUAUAUAAAUAGUAGAAUACAAGAACGAGAUCAUAACAGAAAAAGCAAAUAGAGUGCAAAUGACAUUUUAGUACUAUGUAGCAUGAUUAAUUUUCUUUUUUAGUUUCAACGAAGUACAAAAUUUUAAGUUAAUAAAUUUUACAAUCAUAAAAUUCUCAAUUAAAAUAAACACAAGGUGAAUUCCAAAUCAUAUUACAUGAAAAAAUAAUUACUUGAACCAUACUAUAUCCAUAAUAUACAAUGCCAUAAUAAUUCUGUUCAACAAAAAAAAAAAAUUGUCAAGCAUUAAACUAUUAGCAGAAUCACCAGGCCUCAAUUCCAUUCCUUCUUACUAUGCUUAUUGCAACACCUAUGCCCAUAUGCCUAUUGCCUCAAACUCUCAAGUUUCAAUUGUUUUCAUCGAUUUUUCAUACCUUAGUUUCAACAAUACUGAUUAGCGUUUUUAAGCAAUCUGAGAUCUUAGAAGAAAAUGUCAAGGUUGGAGCUUCUUCAUGGUAAUUGUCGGAUCAUACCCUUUUCUUUUUUCUUUUUUUUCACUUGGGAAUUUGGAUUCCUAUCUACUUGGUAGCAACAAGAUAUCGGGAAUUCUGAAAAUUCAAACUCCUUUCUUUCGAGAGCUGUCAAAAUAUAUCAUGCUUCUACAUGAUUUAGUUUGAGUGAUAUAUAGUAUGUGACGGUAUGUGUAGGUGGUGAAUCACGACAUUUGAGAAAGUCUUUUUUUUUUUUUUUGUAAAAUAAAGAUGCAUUAAAACAAAAUCAAAGUCUAUAGAGUAAUAGUUAAAGUAAAGUCAUCCGUGUGUUGAUGAUACCCUUUUAAGUCUUACAAAAGUAAGGGAAGGACAAAAUCAGGAUAGGAUUAAAAAAAGUGGAGUCUUCAUUGAUGCUUCUUCCCCAAUUCGCUAACAUGUCUGCACAUUUGUUUGCUUUGCGGUAGUUAUGGUAAAAACAUAACUGCUAAAAUGUAGUCAACAGAUCCCUAGAGUCAAGAACAAUAAGAGAAAGUUCAUGAGAAAUAAGGUUAUUUGACUUAAAUAAAGAGAUAAUAUCUUGGCCGAGGAGGAGGGGAUGAUAAAAUUGCUUUUCUAAUUAUUUUAGAAAGUGACAACAUUAUCUCAAAUCAGAGACAGAAUCUAUAAAAUCUACUAAGGAAAAUAAUACAAUUAGUCAAUUUUUGGAAUUAGAAGUAUCAAAAAGCAAACUAUAUGAAAUUCUUGAAUAAACCACUCAUUAGAAAAAAAAUUACAUUCAAAGAAGACAAAUUCAAAAAACUCACCUCAAUUCAAAGGAAAAGCUACGCCUUCCACCAAAUAUUUAAUAGUCAUAAUAAAACUAAAAAGGCGAAACCGAAAAAAGAAGAAAGGGUAUCGGCUUAACAUGGCGGUAUAAAUAUGAUAAUGAUUGUUCAAAUAAUAAUUAAAUUAAUUAAUUGUAAUUAAAAUCCAAUUAUGUAAACAUCCUUUUAAUUCCUUAAAGAAUGAAAAAGGUUUUCAGGAAAUUGGAAGGCUUGGAUGUUAGUAUAAUAAAUGAUUAAAAGGGCUUUUAUGUAAUUCUAUCAAAAUACAAGCUUAAUUCAGUUGUACUUGAUACUCAACUUGGCACCAAACAUUGUAACAUACCAAACCUGCCUCUAACAUUAAAUGUUUGAAAGGUUAUAUAAGUAAUUAUAGCAAAAUUAAAGUUGUAAUGACUUGUACUCAAUGCUUCAAUUACACUUCAAACACUCUAACAUUCCCAAAAUAGCCCCACACUUGCGGUUGAAUCUAAAAAUCAUUUUUGUCAUAAACUCGUUCUUAUAUAGUAUAAGCAGGCUUUCAUAAAAGUAUUGAAUGAGCAAUUGAUCACUAAUUUGGUGCUGCAGGCAACUGGUGCACAAUUUUUUUAAAUAUUUUCAAUGCAUAGAUAUUCUCUGGGUUGCUGCUUAAUACCAUAAAUUUCUUUUCACAAAUUGGCAGUUCGAGAUGCAGAAAAUUUUUUUCUAAAAUUUUUUUCCUCAUAUCUAUCCGUGUUGUAAUGCUCCCCACGAGCAAAUAAUAUAGCCAAUUUUUGACAGCUUCCUUUAAUGAAAAAUGGAAGGCUCGCAUCUUAAUCUGCUUCUCUGUAACAACAAGUGGCUUCAUACUCAAACAGACAACGAUGAACUUGUUAAGGUAUUUGUGGGACUCUCACCUAAUAAACUAUGAAAAUUAGGUAAGAUGUAAAUUAAUCUUGAUUUUGAUUCAUAUGUUACAUUUUUAACAAAAUCAGAAAAAGUAAUGACGUUACUGAUUUAAAUCAGGAGCAACCAACUUCGUUAAGGCCCGGUUAUUAUUUGUCAUCAUAACUUCUUCCUGCUCAGAAUCACAGGAAGAAUCCAAUAAAUUCACGACCAAAUUAAACCCUAGAGAUGCAGCAAAUGAUUGCUCUCCCUUUCAUAUUUUAGUUUCUUUUCGCAACCUAUGUGUAGUCUUCUUAACCUCGGGAUUGAAGAUUAAAUCACCUGUACUAGAAAAAUAAGGUAUAAACUAGCAAAAAUAUUAAAAAAUAAAAUAAAAUAAAUACGAAAAAAAUUAAUCAAUGCCAAUCCUCGACAACGACGCUAAAAUUGACAGGUGUGGAUCUUAUGUAAUAAUAUAUUCCUGCUCACGAAAAUAUAUAAACGAAUAUAAUAUUAAAUAGAGCCAUUUUCACAAGGAUUAGGGAAAGAAUUUAUCUCAUUUCAAGUAAAAAACUAAUUGGGAAUUUUGAGAAAUUAAAAUUAAAAUAAAUGAUCAAUGUAAAUAAAAAUAAUUAAACUAAGAUAAAUUAAAUUCAAAUCAAGAAUAAACAAACUCUAGAUAAGGAAAUAAUUUCGGAAGUGGUUCAUACAACUGCUUAUCGAUAGAAUAAUUAUUUCAAUUACUUGUUAAUAAACAGGUUAUAGUUGCCAAAUAUGCGAUGACAAUUAAUUUUUUCUUACCUUCUCGAUAGUUAAACUACACUAGUUAACUAUUUUUCUAAUCAAGAAACAAUCCUAAACAUAUCCAUAUAAUUUAAUUUCUCGAUUGUCUUAGAAAUUAAAAAAGUCCUACUCUAAUCGAUAAAAUCACUACUUGAAUUUAUUUAAAUUAGAUCAUAUAUUUUCCUAACAUGAAACGAAUCACGUUAGGCACCAUUAAUUGAAAAUAAUUAAACAAUUACAGAUUUAACUUAACUGAUGUUAGUUUGCUAAGUUGAAUUAAAUAUCGAGUGCCUUAAUAUUCAAUCAACAAAAUCAACAAAACAACCAUGAGAAAUUAAAUCAGAAAACGUACGAAUACUAACAAAGAUUGUGUAUUGGAAGAAAACGUGGACGUAUAGAAGACAAACACAAAUCUGAAAAUGUUGAUGCUUCACUUUCAUUUAACUAGACUCGUCUAAAAUUUGGGGAGGUCCAUUUCUUAAAUUCAAACCUGUCCCUUAACUAAUAGUACAUUGCUUUAAGCGGUCGUAGAAAUGUUAAAAACAGAAUAGACACUAGAAGAUGCUGCUGGUGUUUUUCUAAAAUUGCCUUCUUAUUCUUAGUCAAAAUUUGCAUGGAAAUGAAACAGGAAAAGGUGGCUUGUGAAGAAAAGUUGUAGCCGAUUCAUGUCGUGUGACUUUUUAUUUUAUUUUGUCAACGCAGGAGUAUCCCAACUUUGCCAGAUUAAUGUGGUGUGAUUAGUAACAGCAAAAUUGAGGUGGUGUUUUGAGAUUUUUUGUGAGGACAAUAAUGGAACCUACAAUAUUGCGACCAUAUUUUAUUUCAGCGACUCCUAUUAAGUUUCCAAAUGAGUCUGCUUUAGCCCGAAGACCAUUCUCAGAUUACGCGUCUCUAAGCACGAAAGUACAGGCAAAAUAUUUGCUGAUCCGGGGGUUAAUCUCUAAACAAGACAGAUCAUCAUUCAAUUAAAAAAAGUUUUUAAUUCCUUUACGGCUUUGUUUUGUGUAUGUGGGUUGCGUUUAAUCAGCUGUUAACUUGUUUACUUAGCAUUGAGCAUUGACAUAGAAAGAUAAAAGAAUUUUAGAUUAAAUAUUGAUUCACAGUAGAUAGAAAUAAUAAAAGCAAGGUCUUCUGUCAGAAUGAUAUAAUUGAGAUCGGGAAAAACAAAGCUUUUAUGCAAAAUUGCUGACUACUAUUCAUUAUUACUUUAAACUAAGCUUGAUUGUUUACAAAUAAAUGAAUAACAUAUAUCACACACUCUCUCUCUAUAUAUCUAUCUAUAUAUAUCCACCGAGUGGAGUGGAGUGGAGUGGAGUGGAGUGGAUAAUGCUUCAAAAUGCCCAGCCCUUUUUACAUUGAGGAUUGAGCAUUCAAGCAAAUCUAUGCACAAACAUUUUUUAUGCUUCCAAGUGUCUUGCUUAGGAGAUGAAUGAUGAUAAACGCAGCUUCGCUUCCGCAAUGUUGUUAUGACUGCGUCUUUUAUCUCCUCUGGAAGUUGAAAGUUUUAAUGCCGUAGGCAAAUAUGAAGGCAAAAACUACCGGCAAUCCGACAACUACACCAGCAACAACUGGAAGAAAGUCAUGUUUGAAUCCAAAGUAACGUCUCAGGUAAUCUUUAAUUAAUUCGCCGUUGUCUUCAAGACGAUCAGACAGAUCUCCCCAUUGGGAUACAAACAGGCCAUACAAGGUCCAAGCCACGGGACAUCCCCAGUAAUACCAUCUCCACCAAAUAGGAAUCCUCUGUUGUUUGACAAGAAAUUCAGCGUUAUUAAAAAGAGAGAGAGAGAGAGUAAGAUUUCUUGCUUUGCUUUGCAUGCGUGACUAUUAUGGAAAGAAAUGAUGAUGAUAUUUGCACAACUUACCGGUCGGGGGAUGAGGAAUCCAGAAAAGAGAUUCCAUCCAGCAUAAAAGGCAGAUGCGACGACGGCAGAAAUGUUGUGAUUGGGAGUGACGGACACAACCAUCAUGCCAUAGAAGGUGAAGUACAGUAAUGUGAAGUACAUGAGGAACAAGUACCAAAGGAAUUUCGAGGCGGUCCAUUCAAAUCCAAUCAUAGCGUAGGUAAUGACAGAAUAAAAUACAGCUUGUUUAAGGAUGUAUAAAAUCUCAAUUCCAACCUGGAGACAGCAAAACAAUUUAUCAGAAAAAAAAAAAAAAAGACUACGCUCGUGAAGUGCCAUGCAACGUCUGAUAUUUAGGAAAUCGGUUCACCUGUGCAAAAGCAUAUGGCAAGGCAGAAUACAUUCCAGCUGCUCUCUCUCUGUAGAAUACCGUCCGUUCUAUAGCCACCACAGGUUGCACUGCUGAGGAGUUUUGCACCCCCAGGAAGAGAACAGCAGCAUACAUUGAACCCAUGGCAUUGAAAAGAUCUUGUGUAGUGUCCCUGCAUUACAACAAGCCAAUACGUUUAGUCAAUGGGACUUGUGCCGAAAUCAUGCUUCACAGGUUGAUUUUCAGUGAUGCGCUUGUUAACUUACUUUCUUUUACCCAGCUUCCAGAAGAUUGUCCCAAAUGACAGAGCAAUGAAGGAGGUGAAUAAAAAUCUCACGGCUGUAUAAGGUGGAUUGCGCCAGUAUGACAUGCGUUGUUUCCAGAAGCAAGCCAUGCAUUGCACAGGGAACGCCUGAGAGUACUUGGUAGGGAAGUAGAGGUCUUUUGUACCAGGGCGCGGGCUAUCUAAUUCAUGAAUGAGUGCUUUGUUCCUCCUGGAAUUUGCAACAUAUACAAGUAAAGAAGUGCAUACUAGAUUGAUGGUGUAUUCUGUCAUUGAAUAUUGGAGGCCCAAAGUAGCAUCAUCUGAUUUAGAGGCAGAAAUUGACUGUUAAAUAACUAAAUUGACCUGUAUAAAUCAGAGUUUUUAUAGAUCUCAGCAAAAUCGACCCCCAACAUAAGUUCUUGUGCUGAAGCAGUAACUUCCAACAUCCAGGUUGCUGGGUUGUAACCAUCUUUGAUUUUGCUGACUCCAUGAAUUGCCUGAAUUUGAAAGAAAAAUGAAUACAUAGGGUUCUAAUUUGGAAAAGAAGCUUUUCAGGCAUUACAUGUUAAUCAGAAACUUACCUCAAAGUACUUAAUUAAUUCGAUGGAAUUGUGGCCAAGCGGCCCGACAUAUAUUUCUUGGCCCCCUCGCUUCAGAAGGAAUAACUGCAGAACCAUGUCCAGUUUUAGUAGUUCUUAUUAAUUCGAAAACCAAAAAGUACUCAAAGUUCUGAACAGAUCAUUACCUCAUCGAAAGCUUCAAAUAUGUCAAUGCUUGGCUGAUGAAUGGUGCAUACUACAGUUCUUCCAGUGUCUACAGUAUUUCUCACAGUUCUCAUCACAAUUGCAGCAGCUCUUGCGUCAAGACCUGAAGUUGGCUCGUCCAUGAAUAUGAUUGAGGGGUUAGCCACAAGUUCAACGGCAAUGGUAAGCCUCUUGCGCUGCUCAGUUGAAAGACCGUUAACCCCUGGCAGCCCCACAAGUCCAUCUCUCAAUGAAGUAAGUUCCACAAGUUCCAUAACUUCAUCAACGAACAUCUGCAGGUAUUAGGAACAUGAAUAUGCACAUAAGAUACUUGAUAAAGGAGACGCCCAUUAGCAAGGCUUCAUAAAUUUGUCAACAUUUUGAUUGUUAAACAAAAUCAGAUUGAGGGAUACAAACCAUUCUGGUUUUAGCAUCAACUUCUGCGGGCAGACGCAGCCAAGCUGAGUAAACUAGAGACUCAUAAACAGUAACGUGAGGAGAGUGGAUGUCAUUCUGCUCGCAGUAUCCAGAUAUCCGAGCAAAGGUCUCCUGAUUCUUUGGGUACCCAGAGAUUGUAACGUUUCCUUCAAUAUAUCCGCCAGUUUUUCUACCAGCCAGCACAUCCAUCAAAGUUGUUUUACCGGCUCCACUAACACCCAUUAAAGCAGUUAGAACACCAGGCCUAAACGCUCCACUAAUCCCCUUGAGAAGCAUGAGUUUAUCUUCAACAGCACCCUGAUCUUUCAUUGCCUGCAGGUCAUUGAAAGAAUUAAGCAGGUAUUUCAGAGAUGGGUACUUCAAUGACUAAUUAUUAGCAGUAGCAGUAGCUGCUUAUAAAUCAUCAACACAGGAUUCCUCUCGGAAAGUUUGAACUUGUAACUUGUCCAAGUACCUGUGGCAUGUCAACUGAGUAUCUUAUGUCGUCAAAGGUAAUUGAAUGCGGUUCAAAUGGAAGAAUCAUUCCUCUUCUCUGAUUCUCAUUGGACUCAGUGAUGGCAUCUGCCCACGUAAAAGUAAACCUUUAGAAACCACACAAGGUAGAGGCAUCAUUGCAUCCAUAGGCAUCAUUACAUCCCUAUGCAACUUACCUACGGAGCCAUCUCUUUGGCCAGAAUUUUCAGUGUUUUCACUUUCUUCUGGUAGAACAGCUUGAGGCUUCCCGAGUGCUGCAAAAGUUUUGUCUAAUUAUUAGUACCUGACCUUCAAAUGAUUUCAACUUACUAAACAAAAACGAGACUCACGCUGAAGAUAAGUGAGAGCGAGGGUAUAGAAGAAAUUUAACAGGAGAAUGAAUCCACCACACGCUCCAAGUCCGAUCCAGUACCAGUAUGAUUGAGGGAAGAAUCCUUUCGAUUUCAAGACUUGAGUUCCCAAUGUUUCAGUUGUAUUUGGCACAAUCUAUGCGAGUACAGAAUAUAAUAAGAAGUUAGUCCAAAUCCCAGAUUCAGAAAUUCAGGAACCAUGCAAUUGCUGAGCAUAGUAAUUUACUUGUCUCCAGUGCUUUCCCGUAAAUUCGUUAACAAGAAUUGCAUUCUGUGCAUACAUCAAUGGUGAGGACCAGUAACCCCACAACCACCAUUUCUUCACUUGAUCUGCAUCAUUCCAUAAAAUAAGAAAAACAAAAGCAAAUAUCAGUCACUUUUACUGAUUAUGAGGAGAACAGAGAUUUGACUUUUGAAUUCGGAGCAUUACCUCUUGAUAAGACAAAUCCACCCAAUGCAAAAAGCAGCAUCAAUGCAAAUGUCCCAAAUGUGUUAGCCACAAUCAUGUUCCUGGAAGCUGCCCCAAUGAAUCUAAACAAUGCUGAUGCUACCUGAUUGAUAGCGACCAGUAUCAGGUAGUGUUUGAAAAACCUGCAGCAAACGUACCAGAUAUGAAAAAUGUGGACCUUUAUUUACUAUAAAAGUUACUGAGCUAAGUUAGUUUGACAGUUUACUAUAAAAGUUACUGAGCAAAGUUACUUAGGUAGUUUACCUCGCAGGGCUUGGAUCAAAUCCAAUGACAUAGUAGGUCAUAACAACCCAAACAGCAACUUCAAGAAAAGUGAUUGGUAUCUUGAGAAUCCAUGUGGGCAGAGCAUAUGACCACGCAGGGAAAAACAGGAAGUCCCUUUGCUUGAAGAAGACCGGAAGCUUGAGAAUUGUCAUCGCCAGUUCGGCCAUUCCAUUAAACAUGACCUGAACGACCACGAAAAAUAGAGCACCAAGAUAUAUUCCUCCAUCAGUAACAUCUCUUCUUGGCAUUUUAGUCCUAAAGAACACUGUCAUUCCGAUUAGGCCCAUGAUGAUUAGCUGAGAGAGUUUGAAAAUGUAGAUAAAGGAGUUUCUCUUUAUAAGCAAGAGUUCUCUAGCGGAGUUGGCUUUAAAAAUCUCUUUAUUGUUAACACCAUAGGUUUGGGUAGUCAAAGCGGCUGGAUGACUUUUGCUCUUAUCAAACGGUGUUGCAAGUUCAUUUGAUAGUGUCCUUCCAACAUGGAAUGAUUGGAAUGACUCGGCAAAUUCAGUCGCGGCUAUAUAUCUGUAGGGUUCGUCUCUACGUGCCCAGUACUGCCGCUGAUCUUUCUUUGAUGUAACCUGCACAAAUAUGUAAUUUUAUGUUAUAACUGGAUAAGGGGACUCAAAAAUCGAUGUUAUUAUAAAUGUUUAUUUUACAAUAAAAGCAUACUUCUUGCAAGAAGUCAGCAACUCCUUUUCUGUCCGGGCAUCGGAAACCCAUAGAUUGAAAAAAUUCAACAACAUUUUCUCGGGGGCCCUGGUAAACAAUCAGGCCAUCGGAUAAGAGGACAAUAUCAUCGAAGAGGUCAUAUGUCUCAGGAGCCGGCUGCAGGAGUGAAAUGAAUGCAGUUCCCUUCAUAAUAUGCACAUAUUGUCUGAGGGAAUUCACAAUCUGGAAAGUAGUGGAACUAUCUAAUCCAGUUGAUAUCUCAUCCAUGAAUAGCGCAUUUGUCGGUCCAACAAGCAUUUCACCUGAAAUUUUAAGUAAACCAUCAGCUAAGUCUAGGGCUGUAAAGUCUAAACAGGGCUUGCUCGAAGUAUGGUUCAGUUUUUACCUGUUGUCACGCGCUUCUUUUGUCCUCCAGAGAUUCCUCUUAGCAUUUCAUCUCCUACCAGAGUGUCUGCGCAAAUUUCCAGUCCCAAAAUCUGCACACCAAUGAAAAUAAGAAUACGUAUUUUGCAGUUUUAUGCUGUUGUAAGACUAAGAGGAAUCUAACGAGAUAUGGUACCCGAAGAACAUAAUCUGUGACAACAGUUGCUUCUUGGCCUUCAGUAGCCGCAGACUGGAAUAACCAAAUAGAACAUGUGAAUCACAAAAUGGACAAACUAAAAUUGCUUUGCUGAUUAGUUUAACUAGAUUAGCAUUGUAAAGAGACUGAGAAUCAACAAUCAACUAUGACUAGAGUUAUUUCUUUCAGACCUUCAUGUAUAUAUCAAUAUCGGGAUCAGGCUUAAUGUUUGCUGCUUUUUCUCUUCUUGACAACUCCGCCAACAUCUCUGCAAUUUUUUUUUAAGAACAAUGAAUAUAUUUAAUCACCAAGCAAACAUAAAAGGACAUAAAAGAGCAAGAAGUAGGAGUAAUCUCCUGACUAACCAUAACGAGAUCCAACUCCUUGGCACCUGGCAGAAAAUGCUAGAGUUUCUCUCACAGUCAUUUCUCCAAUAUGGAGAUCAUGUUGACUAACAUAUGCAGCAGUUCUUUGGGGUACAAAUUCAUUCAUGCCGUGCCCAUUGUAAGUAAUCCUUCCAGAAGACUGGUGUGAAAAAAGAAAAGACCUUAGUGCUUUCAAUUAAGAAACGCGAUUCCUAGCUUCAUAUCGGACGUUAAUUCCGGCAGUGUAGUUGCUGUAGAUUUACCUUCAAAUCGGGGUCAAGCUUUCCAGCCAAAGCCAUCAAAAGUGUUGUCUUUCCAGACCCUGGAGGACCUAAUAGUAAUGUCAGUCUGCAAAAACAAGAUAAAAGAGUUGAGACAAGAGACAACUAUCUUCAAAUAUUGAAGUCACAUACAGAUAUAAAACCCCUGAACUGGCCAUGUUUGAUUUCAUUAGUAAUCUGCUUUCUUACCUUGAAGGCUUGAUAAUUCCACUGACAUCCCGAAGUAUUUUAAUAUUCUUCUUUCUGCUUGGAAGUAUGUGAAGAUUGUUCAAGACCCCCUUUUGAAAAGGUAAAAGAAAAAAAGGAAGAGCGGGGAAACAGACAAGUUAGAUCAAAGCAUCCGUUGCAUGCUUGAAGGUACAAAUAAUCUAAAACAAUAUGUUUCAUAUAACCGAAAAGCAGGCGAUGAAUAACAAGAUUUACCUCUAUCAUAUUGGUAGCGAAGUUAAGGAAGGUAGGCAGAGCACUACUUCCUACAUAAGCUUCUGCGUCAACUUUUAGAUGCUCAAAUCUUACUUCAAUUGUAGGCAAAUCGAUUCCAACUCUAAAGUUAUACCACAGCGAAAACCAAAAAAAUCCAUCAUUUAAAAGAUCAAGUUUUUGGUUGAUUUAUUUGUUGAAAGAUACAAAGUGAAGAGAUCAAUCAGCAGAAGUGGUAGUACCUAUCAAUUCUGUUCCUCAGUUUCAUCAAGAAUUUCUCAUUAUCCUCUUCGGCAACCUUGACGAGCCUCUCAAGGAGAGUUUUUCUUUCUUGAAAUCCAAAGUUCUCUACAUCCACUUCAUUGACUUCACCUCGCGAUCCAAAGAGCAGCCCUUUUCUGAGUCUAUCAAAAGUUGGUAGCUUUUCAAGGGAAGCCCAUUUCAGAGCUUCUUCAUCAUCUUCGUCUCGCGAUGAACGUGAAAACACUUCCAAGCCUGUAUUCCUCCACAAGGCUGAGCUGUUAGCUCUUAAACUACCUCUUAAACUACCGCUCGGUCCUAUCUCCAUUCUGAUCCCAAGUGCGCACAAUAUGCAACACUAGCCCAGUAAAACGUCUUCAAAAACAGCUCGAGAAUCCUCGAAAUUUGGCACGCUUGAAUCAAAAUCUUAGCAAUUCGGCCGCCUUGAUCAAAAGGGAUGACUACUCAGUUCCCAGUCUCUUUCUUUCUUUCUUUUUUUUUUUUUUUUUGCAACUGGUCCUUCAAAGGACGCCCCUAGCUGCAGAAGGCGUGCAAUUACAUACAGUUUGAGAAAGAGUUGGAAGACGGAGAAAAGAACGUAAUAUUUUGAAGGGGGAGUGAGUUGGGGAGUAUUUAUAGAAUAGUUAACUUGUGAGGAUGUUAAAUUUUUAAGUUGAACGAAGACCGGCGGCUCGUAGUUCUUCUUUUUUUUUUUCCCAUUUCUUUUCUUUUCUUUUUUUUUUUUUUUUGCCAGGCGGACGUGAAUUUGGCGGGGGGAAUUUGGAUCAAAUUUUUUUCUCCUGUGUACGUGGAAAAUGGGAACGUCAUUGUUGACCGGUGACCAAGGCUCUCCUUCCUUUGCCCAUCAAAGCCUAUUCCUUUCGGAUAAUUUAACGGUCCAGAUAAUUAACCCACAGGUCUUAAAUUGGUCAUAGCGGCGGUCAAAAGCAGAAAAAAAAAAAAAAAGAUAGUCAAAAUGUCCAGCUUGAGUUCAUAAUACUAACUACCAUAAUACGUAUAUAUUUUUUUCUCCCCGAAGGGAAAUAAUGAAACAAAAUUCUCUUCUUUUUUUUUUUUCUUCCCUUUGUGACAAGAUAAAAUUUAGAUAUCAUUAGAGGAUUUAUAUUCUGUAGCUGUUUUUUGUUGAAUGUGAUUACAAGUAAUUUUGCAUUGUGUAUGGAUGACAACUUAAAAAUAUUAGAACUGAUAACUUGUAAAAAUACUCAGAUAAAUAAUAAUAAUAUUAGCUUAUGAUUUUUGAGACCUCAAUCUUAGUUAAAAAUGAUGAUUAGGAAAAUAGCAUAAAGUUGUACCAUAUUUAAUGUGAGGAUAUUUUAGAAAAUUUAGAAUUUAAAUUUACUUUUCUAACAAAGUUAAUUAUAUUUUUUUAAACUGUAUAAAAAAAAAUAGGAUUAUCAAAGUGAAAGUUUUGGUUACAAUAAAUUCAAAGGGUAAAUUAAAUUGGGGCGCCGCAUUUUACCACAUGCGCUCCCAUAACGUUUUGGUCAACUCUUCAUGUUUAAUUAUUUUUUCAAUUCUUUUCCUCCUUCUUUAUAGUUUUAGAUGCGGGUAUCAGCACUCCAUGUUUGAAAUCACGGGUUGCAACAUGAAACUCUUUCCCAAAGAAUGUCAAAAAAAGAAAAAAAAAAAAACUCUUUUCCCAAAGUCCUUAUUUGCAAUAUUCCAGCCAGCAUACAAUAAUGUACCAGAGGGCGGCAGAAGGAGCGCUCGGCAAUCAUCUCUGGUAAGCAGUCACAUUUUCCCCCCUAGUGGUGCUAACUGACGAUUAAACAAACAUAUUCUAAUAUGAUUCUCUAUCUACUAACCACCGAUAUAGGUUUAAUCAUACUUUGCCCCCCUCAACUAGGGGUAAUCCCACUUUGUCCCUUCAACAAAAAGAAUACGUACAUACUUUGCCCUCCAUCAAGAGCAAUCAACCUCAAGUUUGUGAAGUUUUAAAAAAGCGAUGAUUGGAUUAAAAAUACCCUUUGGUUGCCAAAAGACACAAACAUAUAGCAAUAAAAUGCAGCUUUAUCGACAAUACAAAGAAACUCUUAUACUCAUAAAUUACUUAAUUUUGGACCUAAAAUCAUAAGAUAUUAUCGAUCGAAAAAAACAAAGAAUUAGUAGUUGCGAGUAGAGUAGUUGACGAAUUUUCGUGGAAGAAAAAGAUUUGCAAUGGUUUACAAUUGAUCAUUUGAUGAUUUAGGAGUCCCUUUUACUUUUGGCACAAAAUUCGGAGAAGAAAUUACACGUGCUUUUUAGGAGGCGUAUUUAUUUUAAGUGGAGAUUUAGUGCUACUUUGCGAGGCUAAAGUGCAUAUAGUCUCUUGAUUGAGGGCGACAAACUGAACCUCCCCUAGUCCCUAGUCUAGGCCAGGGAGGCAAAGUAUAUAUGAUUAGCCCAGAAACCGACAUAGUUUAGUUUAAAAUAUGUCAAACCUAAUAAUUCUGCAUUGCUUUCGCAUCAAACGUAAUAAAUACUAUACUGUUUAAUUUAAAAUAUAUCAACAGGUAGUAAUCUGACUCUGGCGCAUAUGAUUCGAUCACACGUUUUGAGGACGAAAUCUAACCAAUAGCCUGCAUUGCCCUCGUCAAGUGCAGGAAAAAAAAAAGGAAGACCGAAGACUUUUCAAAAUCAACUUGAUGAAUUGAGCUGGCAGUUGGCGCGAACCACUCACUUUUAAUAAAUUCCAAAACCCGUAAAAUUCACACAUCCACACGUUAGUAUUCUGGAAGCUCUGACGGGCACUGCGACUUGGAUUUUUUUUUUUCUCUUUUUUUUUUUUGAAUUUUUAUGCAGGCAGCCUUCUUCAAAUUUUUUCACAAAUUUUUAUUCUCAGAAUUUUUCAUUCUGACAAGAUUAUAAAUUGCUCUAAAUUCCUGUGCUUGUAAGGGUGGGAGGAUAUAAAUAAUUAAAAGCACAGCACGCCUACAUCUGUUGGGCAAAAAAAAAAAAUAUAUAUAUAUAUAUAUUCAUGACCUAUCUUAAGGUAGUAGUACUAAUACUAUCCUAAAUUUUAUUAGGAGUAUUAUUUUUUUUAAAAAUUUUUAUUUUCAAGCAAAAUAUAUUGGGCUUCAAGUUCCUGAUAUUUAGGAAAUGAUGAUGUCAAACGAUUAAAGAUUGUAAGCAGGAAUACGCUCUACUAUCUUUUCUGCCCCUGAAAAGUCAGGAUGCAUGCCAAACUUUUUUGUGGGAUUUCUUUUUCCAAACGUUUGGAUUCAAGUAACAGGACGUAGACAGUUUCUCUCGGUCGUGCACGCGGACUUUACUUGCGCAUUUUGGUGGAAAAGAAAAAAUGAAGAAAUAUCAUCAUCGUCACGUUAGUAAGUAGUAAUUUGAUGAGGUUUCUGGACCAUUGGCUCUGUGCUAAGGGGGAGUGAGGAGCGGGCAUGAUGGGUGGAUGGAUGGAUAGGCUGCACUUGCCUCGCAAAUUCCUCCUCUUUUGGACUCAAGACUUUCUCUUCAAGACGGAGGACUUGGCCAGUCAUCCACCACCCAAGUGCUCGCGAAAGUCAACAGUCUCUUGGGCACUCGGUACCACCAAGGUGUGGGUGCGAGAGAUCAAAAGUUUAAUUCUUAUUUUUAACCUUAUCACUUUAAUUGUAUCUGUCACUUAAUUAUAAUUUUUUUUGACGGAAUUUUAUUGAUUUUUUUUAAAAUUAAAUUAAAAUAAAUUAUAUAAAUAUUAGAUAUCAAAAAUAUUUUAAAUAAUAUUUCGCUUGCAUCACAAACACAUUUUUUAACCUAUCUUCCUUUUUAUCUCACAUACAUCAUAUCAUAAAAAGUAUUAUAAUAAUUAUUUCAAAUAAUACGCUGUCCAAGCAAAAAAAUUGAGCAAACUUCAAAAUAAUUAAUAUUUAGCUGGGAGCUCUCUCAAGCAGUCGAUUGAGCAAACUUCAAAAUAUCUCUCCCUCUUGUCACGUCAUUCCAAAACGGUCCUAAUAAUGAUGAACAGUUCAGCAGCCAAGAACACCUGUCCUGUAGCGGCUGGCCACGAAUUACCCAACUUCCAAAUAUCAUCCAUCUCCGGUCUUAUCCAAACGGAUUUAACAGUUCUUUAAAUCAUGAAGAAACCAUACAAAGGAUCUUAUAUCACAACGGGUCACAUACGCGUUCUUUUGUCCUGGCGAUCGUAUGGUUUACCCCAUCCCGACUCGUGAGGUUUUUUUUUUAAAAAUUUUGUGCUGUCGUAUUUAAUGGAGUGCACCGAGUACGUACCUUAUCAGAAGACGUUACUGAUUUGACACCAUAUCAAUAGCCCCAUUCGAUAGGAUAUGAAUAUGACUAGAAUUAAUAUGAAUAUGAAUAUGAGUAGGAUAUGAACAUGGCUAGAAUUAAUUGUUAAUAAUUUAUCCAGGGUUCCACAGCCUAUGAAGGGUUUUUUCUUGCCAGCGGUGGUGCUUAGAGUGCCCUUAUCAGCACGCCUAAUUUUUGCCCAUGUGAAUAAAGCGUCGCAAUUGUUGUAUAUUUUUCAUAUUUAAUCGCAAAAAAAAAAAGAAGUGAAGUGUCACUUGAUUAGCUUCGCUAGUAUAGUGUUCCGAGUCUUCCCAACCUGAACUUGUGGAAGCAGAAAAUUGGCAGCCGUUGAUCAAAGUUUCUGCAAUUCUUUAGUUGUUGUUGCAUCCCCCUUUCCAAGUUUCAACACAAAUGCUUGGUGCUGAAAUCCGUCCGGAAGGGAAAUGCCAAACAUUUAGACCUCGUCGUGGUCCGCAAUAGCCACACCCAGUCCACCUGCCUGCCUUGUGCAGGUUCAUAAAAAAAAAAAAAAAUUGCACCGCCGAAAUUUUUAUAUAUUCAACUCAUCUCGUCCACUUUUGGAGGAUUCCUUCCAGCUAGUUAUAUAAACAAAAAUCUACGCUCCCACCGUUUCUCACGCCCUCCCAACUAUUAAAUCUUGAAUCUAAUAACAACGAAAAAAGAUUCCUUCCCUUGAUCACCCCGCCAACCCCACAGUUCGCCGGUCACAUUUAGCAAUAGACAAAACAUCGGAGUACUUGACAAAGUCAAGUGCAUCACAAACCUCCAAACUGUCUCAAAAGAUUUUUUUUUUAUUAUUUGGACUGGAAAACAAUUUUAAACAAAUAUUUAGCAUCUACUGCUACUUUUUCUACAGUUUGGAGGAGGUUUGAAUUUUCACGACAUUCCAGCUCUGCGUUGAGUAUUCGGAAAAAAAUGAUGCAUGCGCUCAAACCGGGCCUUAUUUGAUUCAGUCUUUUAUUUAGACCCGACCCUGGAGAUGUCGUGGGUCCUCCGCUCUUCACUGCCGCCCAUCCUCCUCUUGAGUCUUGGCUUCCCGUCCCGUCGUCGCAGGACAAAUUUCAGAAUCCAAUCCAACUACCCUCUAUCUCAUCUUUUAGACUUUAUUAUUAUUAAACAAUUUACUAUCCAAAAAAAAAAAAAUUGAUGAAACUAUGAACUUGGCAAAAUUAAUUAAUAAAAAAAAAAUUUACAUUUUGUCGUGAACAAAUUCAGGCAGCGUUCGUUGUAUACUGGAAUUGACUUAGCUGCUAGCAUUAGACCGACCGACGUUGUUUUUCAAGUGCUACAAUAAUAAUACAAUACGUAAACGUUCAAAGUAAACAGACGGAUAAGCUAAUGCAGCAACUUUCUUCUCGUUUUCCUUUUAUUUAUUUAUUUAUUUAUUAUUUGUAUGUAUAUCAUUCGGCUAAUAAGUAAUAAUAAUAAUAUCGUUCACAUGGUGUCAGAUCAGAGCAUAAAGGGCCACGCUUAUAAUAAUGAGAAACUUUCAGGGGCCGGCGUUGACGGAUGAGUUUCUGCGGAGCUUCUUCCAUGAUCGUGCAUCAGAAUUUACAUUUUUUCAAACUUUUUUUUGUUUCUUCUUCUUUCUGUUUCCUUCCGUUGGGUGAAUGCUUGACUUGCUCUGCCUUUCCUUCCCGUCGACGCAAACAAAAGUGAUUAGCAAGCAGGCUGCAAAAAUUCAAAAUAGCCGUUGCUUCCCUUCCUUUCCUUUCCUGAACACUUUACAAAAGCAUCCCUCUUCAAUUUGACUAAGGCCAUGCUUGGAUUGCUUGUUUUCGUCGAAAAAUAUUGAGUGUGUUUGGACAGCCAAUUAUUUGGCCAAAUAUAUUUGCUGACAUCACCAUUACAAUUUCCAAUACACCUUUUUAUCUUCCCAAUUACCUUUUUAUCUCACAUACAUCACAUCACAAAAAGUGCUAUAGUAAAAAUAUUUCAAAUAACUUACAAUCCAAACACACUCAUUAUCGUUUUCCGUGAUCACAUUUCUCUAUCACCCUUUUUUCUCACAUAUAUCAAAUCGCUACAGUAAUUUUUUCACAAAAAAUGACGGAAAAUGCAACCCAAACACAACCUAAAUUUUUGAGAUGUCACAAGUUUCAUCUUCAUUUUUCCCCUUAAAUAUCUUAAUGAAAACUCAUCAUCAUCGUGCGGGUUGAUAAACAGGUCAGAAAUCCAACCUUCUAGUAGCCCAAGACGUCAAUGGUCGGGCAUCGUUGAUAAAAAGUACCAUCUUGUUUGAUUUUUGGAUUGGAUUGUUUUUCUCCGAUUUUUUUUUUUUUUUUUUUUUAAUGUAUGCAAAGAAAGAAAUAAAUGAUCAGUCUAAUAAGUAGCUGAAGGAAACUUUCGCAAGUAACAAAUUAAUUUCAAUGUUCAAACUUCCAACCACUACCUUCAUAUUGCAGUAAACAACUAAAAAUUCCACCAAGAUAAUAAUUCAUGUUAAAGAAUACCCUCCUAUAAGAUAGUACAAUUAUUGGCAUCUCCUCCGAUCCAAAACGUAGAAGUCGAAGUCAAUUCCCACCGCUUACGGGAGUCGCUACUGGCAAACAAAAAGCCUGGCAUCAUGGACAGUCCGUUUCAAACACGGGGAACAGGAGAAUCCUCCCAAGAUUCGCUUAAUCUAGACUUCUACGCUCCAGACAGAAUUACUGAAGUCAAGAGUGGAGGGAGGGGAACGGAGCCGGGGGGAUGAAGACAAGUCAACAGGGCACGUAGGAGAGAAUUCAUCUAGACAUGCUUAACUCGACCCCGUUAAUCCAAUCAAGGAUUAUAAAAUGCAACAAUUACGCGCUACUAAUUUCAUCAAAUGGCCCUUUUUUUUUUUAUAAGGGGGGAGGUAUUUCCCCUCGUCACACUCUUCUACCAAAUUUUGUGUGUUCAAGGGCACAAGGGAUGCCACAAGUCACGAAGCUGGAGCAAAGCGCUGCUUCACCAGCCAAAAGGUACGGAGAACAGAGUGAUUAAAAGUCAGUAUUUGCGAUAACCAUGCAUGCAAUUGAGACCAUUAGCGAGCAAUCCUAAUGGUGAAGGAAGACGAGGUCAAAAGAUGAAAGUGUUGUACAUCUCAAGAAUGAGCUAAUGGUCUCCCUAAUGCAUUUUCAUUAGAUUGAAAACUGAUGAGUUUACAAGAAGACUGACAAGCACAACACCUCAAGUCCCAUUAAGCACCAUUCUGGUAACUUAGCUCUGUUAUGAAACCAAUCCCAGUCAAUUUGCAUCAUCAUCAUCUUUCUCAUUUCCAGCAGUUGCAUUGACACCAGAAGUCAGCUCGGCUUCAACUGACAUGGAAGGCAACCUCUCAUAUACUUUAGAACCAAAUGGAAGAAGCUUAGACUGCCUUGUAAGAGUUUGACUUAUCUUCUCAUAGUUCCACCUUUGCUGAACGUAGACCAUAACUGCUAGAACAGCGGCCGUGACUGGUAUUGCAAUGUCCCCGAACUUGGAGAAGAAAUCAAAUCGGGGGUUGACAAACUCGUAUUCCUCGGAGAAAUAGGGGUUUGGAAUGGGAGACCUCACAAAAUCGUAUGCAUGGGGAAGCAGUCUUACUGCUGUUAUCCCAAUGUAGUAAAACUUUCUCAGUGGUUUACAACGUAACUGCCAAAUAUAGUUGCCAAUUACUUGGGGGAGGAGGAAAAAGUCUUGAAUAAGACCCAUAUACUCCUGCAGUUCAGUUUCCCAUUCACGUAGUGUUUGGGAUUUGCCAGAUGAAUCUAUAAACUUCUCAGUCUGAAGAGGUCUGUGGCUUGUAGUGAGAGAAUGGACAACCAGAACAAGGGCAUAACCGAUGACAUGCAUGGUCAAGGUGGUUAGCAAUACCCUCUUGUCAUUUGGUACGCGAUGUGGUUCAAGAGGAGCCCUUGUCAACAAUCUGAUUCUCGAUCUCCACACUUUUUGACAGAGCCUCAGAAUAAAUGAAAAGGCUACAAGCACAAGAAGCUUCACCGUGUAAUCAAUUACACGUAUUGCCUGGCUCUUCUCAAGGUCAUAACCUGGGUUCUCAUAAGAUUCUGAAGCCAUCUUUUCAAAUAUGGCCUCUGCACCCGUUAUUAGUGGAAGGCUGUAACCAACAGCUUGGACGCCUAGCAUGACAAGAGAGAUGUAAGGAACAGAUUCCACAUUGUCCCUGAUGUAGAAUAUCUGGCUUACUAUGCAAGCGAUUGCAAAGGAAAGUGUUAGGAUGCGAAGGCUCCCUUCAACACCUCUACGAGAAAGGAUAUCUUCCCUCUGCCCCCGAUACACAACAGGAAAAGUUUGGAGCUUGAUUGGUCUAAAAUAGAGGGGAUCAUCAUCAUUCCUUUUGCUAGAUAUGGAAAUCCUAGCAGUUGGAUUAACUAACCAACGGGCGGUAGUUGGUGGAUAUGAUACCAUAACUUCAAUUAGACAAUCCGAUCCAGCUUCAAGAUCCAUGCUUUCAUACAGAAUGUUCCAUGAAGCUCGAACAUCUCUGCAUCCAAUUAAAUACAUCUUUCCAGCAUGUUGAUUGUACAGCCCCUCCACAGAAAGUACUGAGAAAUUGUCAAAAGAUUUUCCACUUAGAGCAAUUUCAGCAGAAACAUUUAGGAGGAGCUGCUUUUCUGUGUAUUCAGCUUUAUCCUGAUAGGGAUUCUCCUGUUCAGUGUUUGAAACAUUUGGUGACCAGUUACGCCCCAACAAAGGACCAAGAGAAACAAUUUCCAUUUGGAAAUCUGUCCUUGUGAGAAAGGAGCUGGAAUAUGAAUCUGGAACUGCAGGUAUAUGAAGAGUGAGGUCUUCAGAAAGAAGAGAGAGACUGACAAGGAAUGAUUCUGUGGCUUCUAACUUGGGAUACUCCAGUAAAGAUUUCUUAACUAUAUUACCAAAGUUGAAGGGUUCACUUUUCUCUAAGACUGCACCAGCUGCAUUAAUUUUUGUGUAUUUAUAGUAUGGACGAGCAGCUGUGAACUGAUCCCACAACUCUGCAGGGCGCACCAGCUUCUCAAAUGAUAGAGGAAAGUAAGAUCCAGCUCCUCCAUCAACACUAGAGAAAGUGCCCACUAUGAUGCUCCUUUGUUUUAUGGAAAAUGAGAUAGGAAUAUAUAAGCAUACUCGAGAACGACAGGCAGUGCGUUCACUAUCAAGCAAUCCAAGGCAGCCAACCAUGCAAAGUUGUCCGCUGGAAGAUUUCCAAAUUCCCUCAGCAGAUAGUGUCAUAUUGUUAAGACCAGUUCUUUCUGCUGCAAUGAACUUCUUAUCAAAUGGUGGAACUGCUCUGAACACUGAAGAUAUCCUUCUGAAGCCAGGAUUGUCAGCCACUUCCGGACAUCGGAAAUCCUGAAUGACAAGCUUAACGUCUUUGAAGCUCCCAUCUGUCUCCUUUAUCCGCUUAUCUGAUUUGAAGGGUCCCAACUUGCUGCAAAACUCAUCCGUUCCGUUGCAUCUCCAGUUCGGCACAAUAGUUAAAGCUUCUUGUUUGGUAUACUUCUCAAGAAUGUUACAAAAAUCAAGUCCUCUAUACACAUCAAAAUCACCAUUCACCAGAGUAUCUUUAUAUGGGUAUGGAUCACAUGCCCUUGACACGAUCUUUUCAGAACCAAACUCGUAGUUUGCAGAAGCAGCCAACCAAGAAGACAUGCUAAUUUCAUUAAAAAAUUUUGGAUUUGAUUUCAAAUUUAAGCUCUUCAUGCUUCCCCUUAUUCUUCUGUUUACCAAAGUGAAUGUCCUCGGAUAACGAAGCACAAGCAGAAUUUGAUCAUCUUGCACGAGUGGGGGCUGAUUAGCAUAACCAGAUUCCUCAACCCAUGGCCAUGGCUCAGCAGAUUCAGGCUGACGAGAUGGUAACACUGUAUGCCCCAACAAACACAUAACUCUUUCGGCCCCAUUCUUCUCUGAUUCAGUAUAAACUCCUUGGAAUGAAAUAGAGAGCUGAGAAUGACCAGGCCACAUAUCAAAAUGAUGACUUCCCUCAUAGGGCGGUUCCAUAAAUAAUCCAUCCGAUGUUAUCCCCAUUAGCAAUGCACCGCUGACACCAAUCCAUUUCUUAGAUCGACGAACUUUAUUAACAUCAGUAACCCAAAAAGAAACCAACUUUGAGGGAGAUCCAAGACUCAGUGAGCCAUUUAUUGCAAGAUCUCUAUCAUCAAAUGGCAUAAUGGGAGCACCAUUUGACUCCUGCCACCAAUCUCCAUUCACAAAGGAGAGCUCUUCUCUUAAACUAAAAACCAUAUCAUCAGCAGGUCUUAAAUUAGAAGCAGAAGAUAAAACCAAGGAGCAUUCUUUCUUCACCUCAUCCAUCCUAUCAUAUCUGUAAGUCAUUGAAUUUCCACUCCUGCUCCUACCACCAAACUCUCCAUCAACAAGGUAUGCUUUUGCAAAACCAAAGCACAACAAAACUAGCAACCCUGUUAAAAUCCAACCAUCAACUCCAAAACACUUCAUCUUUACGCUAAAAUUACGAUACCCCUCAAAGCACUCCUUUACAACUUCUAAUCUGAAAGAAUCCCGCUAACCAAAUAUUAAUUUUCUACACCACAACAAAUACCUCCUUUCGAUUUCCCAUACGAAUAAAAUAUAAGUCUGCAGUUACUGAUGCAAAUGCAAAGGGAAGUACAUGAUAGUACCAGAAAUGAUCAAGAAAAGCAAAAACAAAAUUAUGAGCACGAGAAGGACAUUAUCAGAGGACUAGUGUCUGAAUGCUGAAUGAUCUUUGCAUUUGCAACUAAUUGAUGCAGUUACCUGUGAAGUGGGUUGUCCUUUGAUUCUUCAUCUACGGACUUCUUUGAGGUGAAUCCUUGGAUCUUUGGAUUGAAGAAGAGUGGACUUGAGAAAUAGGGAAGCGAUUUGGUGAUGGAAAGUGUGAACUUGAAGCCAAGAAGAGGAGUGAUUGUGACACUGAGAAGUCAACCUAUUUCUCUACGCAGUUUUAGUAAAAUCACAGUAGUAGUAUCGAUAAAUGCAAUAUGAAUUUGUAUAAUCUCCGUAUCAUUGAAUAUUUUACAUACCUCAAGAAACAAAACACAUUUGACUUUUAGGAGUGCUUGUAUUUAAUGUUUUGCUCAUAAAAAUUUGGGUUAAUUACAUUUACCUCCCCUGAGGUUUGACCAUAUUACCAAUCAAUCCCUAUAAUUUGUCCAAAUAACGGUCUCACCCUUUGAAUGAUCAAACAUUUAACAAAAACCCCCCUUAAUACCGAAAAUGCCCUUAUUGAGACCAUGUUGCAUUAAAAAAAGAACAUAUUUUUAUUUUAUUAACCCUGAAGCAAUCCAAAAAAAUAGAAAAAAGUUUUUCCUUAUUAUUUUAUAAAAACCAUAUCUUUGCUUCCAUAAAUAGUUUUGAAUCAAUAAUUAUUUUAAAUCUUAAAAAUGAAUAUUAAAAAUUAGAUAAAUUGAAAGAAAAAUAAAAAAGAAGCAAUUAUUUUAAAUUCUCAAGUAUGGUUCGAAUUUGUGGUUCAAGGCAUGUUGCGGAGAGCACAGGGCAUGUUUUCCUCAAUUUGAACCAUACUUCAGGAAUUAAAAUAAUUUCUUCUUUUUUUAUUUUUCUUUCAAUUUAUCUAAUUCUUAAUAUUCAUUUUUAAGAUUUAAAAUAAUUAUUGAUUCAAAACUAUUUAUGGAAGCAAAUAUAUGAUUUUUAUAAAAUAAUAAGGAAAAAUUUUUUCUAUUUUUUUGGAUUGCUUCAGGGUUAAUAAAAUAAAAAUAUGUUCUUUUUUUAAUGCAACAUGACCUCAAUAAGGGCAUUUUCGGCAUUAAAGGGGUUUUUGUUAAAUGUUUGAUCAUUCAAAGGGUGUGACCGUUAUUUGGACAAAUUACAGGGAUUGAUUGGUAAUAUGGUCAAACCUCAGGGGAGGUAAAUGUAAUUAACCCUAAAAAUUUUUGUAAGAUUAGCAGCAUAAAUAGUUUGUGUUCGAUGUUUUAUUAUAUCGCACAAAAAAAUAAAUUUUUUUUGGGUCAAUUUUUAUGCUUGUUUCUUUCUCAUCUCACUUUUUAUUUUCCGUUUUCUUUUUUUUUUUUUUGGUUUUUUAAUUUUGUGUGUCUGAAAUCCAAAGCAAAUGAAAUAAUUUUUUUUGUCACAAUUUCAAAUUAAUUCUGGGUUGUGUCCCAAACAGUAAACAGAUGCGUCUGACUCCGAUCCUGUCCAGCGGAGAAACUCGUACUCACAUGUCAUAGACCCGGAAUCUACGGGCGAAGUUGAUGAGUUUCUGAGACGGAUAAGGUGCAUCAAGAUUCAAGAUAGAAAUAUUUGAAGUUGUUGUAGGUACAAAAUAACUCAACCAAAAGCACAAAACAGCAAAUAGGUUUGUAAGGAUGAUGACACACAAUUUUAUCAACAAAACUAGAGGGGGAAUAUCUGCGCAUUGCACGGGUGUUUGGCACUUGUGAUUAAGAAAAAUUUUUUAGAUACUUGUGGUGAGCAAGUAAAUAAAAAUAAACAUAAAAUAAUAGCGCAGAUUAAGUAAUACUAAAGAAAUAUAGCUUCAAUUGAAAAUCAUUAUGAAACGUUGAGUGUAAAGGCUAAAAAAAUAAUGACAUCUAUGUAUUUUGAUAAUUUACGUGGAGAUUUAUUUAUGCUGCAUUGGAAGAACUUCUUAAAAAAGUAGGGAAUCGUAUGACUGUUUUAGCAUCUAUCUUUGUUAGUUUUGCCUUCCAUUAUUCAGUAGGCUAUGGUCCUGCAUCGCUUCUUAAGAAGUUCGGAAGUCGAAAGGGAGAAAAUUGAAGAAGGUGAAGGAGGAAGAAUUGAAAGAGAUGCUCAAACAAUAAUUUAGCAGCAUACCCACAUUUAUUGAUCGUUUAAUUGGAAUGUAAAUAGUGUUUUAUUACCAGCAGAGAAGCUGUUUCAAAUGACUGAAUUUCAGACAUAUGAUCGCUAAAAUUAAUCCACAUUCCGCAAAUAUUGAGAUGUGUCUAUAAAUACAAGCUUUAAAUGUACAAACAUGGGGAUUUUAAUAUAAAAACAUCCAAACACAUGCUGCAAUCAGUUGUACUAAAAGGUUAAAAAAAGUAAUAUAUUUUUUAAAUUUCCAAAAUGCCCCCACCUAUGCGGUUGAAAUUCAACUCUCUGUUUGACCAAAACUCAGUCUUAUAUAGUAUAAGGAAAUUUGGAUAUAUUUAUCGAGGAUAAUUUGAAAAUAUUGGUGAAAAAAUUCUCAAAAGUUUCAACCAUAUUUUUUUACGAAGGCACAUUAAAAUGUACUCCAAGAACACGUAAAUAAAUUACUAGCAUACUUAUAAAUUUGAACGUUACUAAUAACAUGCAGUAUUUUGGGCAAAGUGGAGAAGACAAUUAGGAUACAUGCAUCACAAUUUUAUUUUAUUUUUUUCGAGUAACAGAAACAUUUCACUGAAGUAAAUAUGCACCAAUAUCUCCUGGAUACAGAUGACAUUUCAAGUGACUACCAAAGAGAUCUGUAAAAUGUUGCAUAUUCACCUACAGUAGACUAGACUCAACUUCUAUUUAAACUUUGAAAAUGUUGCAUCCACUCUGCUGCACAUGAGCUGUGAGAGCAAAAAGAUAGGCUUAUCAUUAUGAUCACAAUCUUUUCAAACCUUGAGAAAACUUCUGUGCUGCUUCAAGUUUCAGUGGGAUGGAAGUAUGGAUUGAAGACAGGAUCUCUCAUGUAAUCGUAGGUCCGAAGAAGGAACCUUAAGAGGGUCAAUCCAAUGUAGUACACCUUACUCAGGGGCUUAACUUGUAUCUGCCAUAUCAAGUUUCCCAUUAUCUGGGGAAGCAAAAACCAAUCUUGAACUACGCUCCAGUAUUCUUGCAGUAUGGAUUCCCAAUCAGUCGCAUUGAGGUUUGCAGCUGCUGCAGACAUUGUUUUGUCAAUCUUGAGUUCCCGAAUCACCAGAAUAAAAGCAACGCCAAUCAUGUGAAUUAUCCCACUUGCAAAGAAAACCCGAAUUUCCCUUGGUCCGUGAUGUAAAGGUGAUAACAAACUUUGAGUACGUUGUCUUGAUUUCCAUACCUUUCGACAGAGUCUUAGAGCUAGUACAACCGCGACCAAGAGGAGGGAUUUCUUGAUUAUUUCCAGCAUUUUGAAGUGCAUGCUUCUAUCCUUGUACGGAUAUUUGCUGUGGUAGUGAUAUCCGCUCCCCUUGAUCAGAACUGUGGUAUUCAUGACCAGGGGAAGACAAUAGACCAGAAAUUGAAUGGUCAGCAUCAACAAGGAAAUGAAGGGAAUGACAUAAUCGUUCUUCUUCAAGUACCAUAAUUGGCUCAAUAGGCAACUGAUUGAGCCUAGAAGUAUUGACACACGUAAAAGCUCCUCAAAGUUUCGACGAAAUCGUACCUCUUUUGAGUUGUCAGUGUAUGGAAUCAGAAAUGUCUUUAGCCUGAUUGGCCUAAAGUACAAGGGAUCCUCUGCAUUCCGGGCACUGGAAAUUGAGAUCUUAGCUGUAGGAUUUCUCAACCACCUGGCGGUCUCGGGGGAGUACUCUAUCAUCACUUCUAUCAAGCAGUCCAUCUUGCUUUCAAGAUUCAGAUUCUCAUACGCAAACCUCUCAGAAUGCUGCAACUGGAAGUCGAUUUCCUUGCAGCCUAUAAGAUACAUCUUUCCUCCAAGUUGAUCAUACAGUCCCUCAAGGUAGAUUUUUGAUAUAUGACCAUAGUUUUCUCCACUAAGGGUGAGAUGUGCUGACACUUUCAGAAGCAGCUUCUCAUGAGUAAAAGCAAAAUUAUCUCGAUUUCCAGAAUACAGCUACCCCAUUAUCAUGCCUUGUUAAUUCGGACCAAUAACGUCCAAAUAAUUUGCCCAAAGUGAGUAUCUCGAAGUAAACGAGUGUCUCUGGCAAUUUGUGUUCAUGAUUAUGAUCUGGGAGAGCAUUGACAUGAAAAGACAGCUUACUGGACAGAGAAGACAGCAGAGUCAAGUUAUCACGAUCUUCAGUGCUUGGAUACUUGAAGAUCAAAUCAUGAACCACGGUGCGUAUGUUGAACUUCUUGCUUCUCAUCCAAAAAUCAUUGGCCAAAUCAAUCUUGGAGUACUUGUAUGAUAAAUAAGACCUGCUAUAGUCAUGAUACCUGUUCCAGAUAUCAGAAGGAUGGACUUUCUUUUCAAAAAGCAAAGGGCUAAACGAAUCUGUCCCUUGAAUAUUAGUGAUAGUGCCCAUGAGAAUGCUCCGCUGAGUGAUUGAUAAUGUGACAGGUAUUACUAAGCUUAUUUUAGAAUUGCACCUGUUUAUAUCGUUCUCAAGUCCAACACAGCCAAUCAUGCACAGCUGCCCAUAUGAAGGAUUCCAAGUUCCUUCUGCAGAGAUGGUCAUUCCAGAGAUACAACUCCAAGCCCCAGAAUAAUAAACAUCCUCCAAAGGAGAUAUGACUCUAAAGAAUGCAGAAACCUUUGCAGCUCUGAGCUUACUGAUAUUGUCCCCUAAAAUGCAACGAAGAUCAGUCAUCAUCAGCCGAAACUUAUGAAAGAUGUUGUCUUUGCUUUCAACCUUCUCACCGAGUACAAAAGGCCCCAAGUUCUUACAUAUGUUGCUACUGUUGCAAUUUUCCACUGCAAUAUCAAAUUUUUCAGAAGCAAAGUUUUGAAGGACUCUAUAGAAAUGGUUCCCAUGAUAUACAUCACCUCUCUUGUCUGACAAUUCGUGUUGGUACAAGUUCGAGUUGCAUGCUUUUGAGACAAUCUUCUUGGAGAUGAACUGAUAGCUGGAGUCAUAGGUUUGAUGACUGAGCCGGGAAACGAUACUGAUGUCGUCAAAAUAUUUGGGGUCUGACCGUCUGGUCAAACUUCUCAGGUCACCAACUAUUGUCCCGCUGGUCAAAGUGAAACUCUGAGGAUAUUGAAGAACAAGCAUAAUUCGAUCAUCUUUGACAGGAGAAAAUUCGCGGUUAUUCUUGCAGCCACAAUUCAAUGACCACGUAGAAAAAUCAGGAGGACUUUCUGAAAAAGGAGAUACUGAAUUUCCCAACAUGCACAUCAAACCCUGCCCUCCCUUGUCUUCAGACUCAACAUAAUGUCCUUCAAAAGCAAUUGUUAGCACAGAGUAUCCAGGGCUUUUAUGAAACAUAAGAUACCAAGUCUGCGGCAUGCUUGGCAAUGUGUGCUGUUCCUCGUAAUGCCUAUAGACAACAGUCCACAAACGCCAAUGGCAUUGUUACUUGGAUGGGAAAGAUUAAAUCCCAUCACCCAAAACGAAGCUAGCUUUAGAAGUGAUCCACUGCCACUAAAGUUCAUUGGCAUGUCACUGGAGUCAAAUGGCAUCAGUGGUACUCCACUAGCCUGUUGCACCCAAUCUCCAUUUUGGAAAGAGAGACCCUUGGCAAUUUCAUAGAACUUUUGAAUUCCAAGUUGAGCGUUUGAAGCUGAAGAUACAACAGGGGAGCAUUCUCUCUUGACUUCCACAAGGCGUUCAAACUUGCAAAUCCUUUUAAGGUCAUCCAACUCUUCUGAAUCCUCGUAUGCUGGUCAUAAUGAACUUGUUGCACCAACCAAAAAUACCAAAAUGAAUGGCAAAACUAGUCUAAUGUGAGAGGAAAACUGGAAGUCCAUUCUUGAUAAUCUAAACUCCUCUCUGUUUUAGUGUUGAAAACAAAUUCGGCUUCAACUUACAGGAAAUGAAAUUCCUUCUUUUUUUUGGGUGGAAACUAUCUGAAGGUUUUGCUAUAGAAUGUUAGCAGACUGCCAUGUUAUAUAGAGAUAAAGUCGCAUCAAAGUCCAAAAGAGAACUUCUAAAAAGAUCACAUCUUAUUCGGACAUAGCAAUUCAGCUUUUUGCAGAAUUGAAGAACAUAGUGCCGGAUACCCUAAUGGUAAGUUUCAUCAAGUCUAAAACAUCUUUGUCAACUAUCUUUGUGAUAUCAGCCGGCCUGAUUGUUCCUGUUAGUUUAUGGUUUAAGGUACUGUGUCAUAGAGGUUCUCGUUGUCAGUACUGGCACCAAGUUGGAUUCUGAGCAAGCUUCCAAAGUAAUUGCAAAUUAGGUAAUUAGAGAAAACCUCACCAUCCCAUUUUGCCAAUAAAUGAGAUCUUCAUCAAGAUCAAAACCCCAGACUGCAAGUCGCUGUCCUUGGAAUCGACAAAUUUUUUACAAGCCAACUUGCUACUUUUUUAAAGCAAGGGGUGUGAUUUAAGAAAUGAGGAAGGGGAAGGAAGGAAUUGAAUCCAAAACCCUCUCAUUUCUGAAAAAUAUUUACUGAAAGCUUGAACUUACUAGAACUUAACAAAAAUGUUUCUAAAAGUUGGAUGAAGGAAUGCAAACUCUACCCAAAGAAAAAAUGAUAAACGAAUGCAAACAAAACAGGUGAACCACAUGCCGAUUGCAGCACAAAUCGAGCACUGCCGCAUGCUCCUACGCUGACUACAUGUAUACUAUAUGUUGAAUUGCUUUAACACAUCUGAAAGAAAGUAGUUUUUCCGCCAAUUUCCUAAUUUUGUACAGAAGAAAUUUAAUUAAGCUGAAUGCACUAGCCAUGAAUGCUCCAGGAAAAGAUUUCGCAUGCUUAACCAUCCCAAUUUACUCUGAAUGCGCUUAGUUGGUGAAUAGUCCUCUUCUCAGCUUCUCAGUUUCUAUAUUUGGUAGUUUGAGGCUGCCGGAGUAAUUAAACUAGGAGAGUAGUCCAUAUUAUUAUAGUAAUCCAAGUAGAUUAUCACAUUACAACAAGAGUACAAUAUACUAUAGAACAUGAACCAUGGUGAAUAAAGCUAUAGAUAUGAUCUAAGACUGCCUCAGAUACUCCGUCUAACUUGUUUGUCCAAGUCCCCAAUAAUUGCAGACGGCGCUAAAUUGAUUAUGAGACAAUCAACAACAAUGCUUCAAGUGGUCGGACGGUAGAAAAUUUCUGAAGAACUCCUACGGAUUGGGGGCUGGAUCCUCCUCCUCUGUGCUAACAGAUACAGACUUGGCCUUAAAGAAGCCAAAAUUAGAGCAAUCCAUCUGCCUCAGCUUCAGCAGCAAAAACAGCACAAUACCGCAAACGAACCCCAAGGCUGCACUGGACCCAGUGAGGGAUACAGCAGCACAAACCAGCAUCACAAAAGAUUCUUCCUUCGAGUUCAUAUCCCUUGAAGCCAUGGCCAACUCUAUCCCAGCAAAUAACAGCAGCACCCCAAGAAUCCCUAUUGGAAAUUGACUUAUAACCUUGACAAAAUAAUUUCCAAAAACCAAUCCAAGCAACAACUUCCCCAAACCCAAAAACACCACUGACGCACCAGUCCUCCCACCAAACCUGUACUGCCCAGCCAGUCCACCUGCCCCGUGGCAACAUGGCAUUGCGCCAAACCAGCAUCCCACUAAAUUCAUCAGCCCAACACUUACCGAAACCCCUGUAGCCGAUACAUCCAUCCCAGGGAACAAAUCUGUCGAUAAUUUACACACAGCAAUAACUGAAUUCAAUACAGACAAUGGGAUUUGGGGAAUUGCACCUCUCAAGAACCCAGUUUUCCAGUCUUCCCAGGUGAUUUUCAGAACGUGAAUCUUUGACGGGCCGAGUUUAAUUUCAUGGACAAUUGAAGGGUCGCGAAUAAAACACAAAAUGAAACCAAGCAGAAAUACAAGCAGAGCUGCUGGAAUAGCUGAUAAUAUUCUUAACCUACGAUGCCUUCGAAUUCUUAAUCGAUUAUAAGCGUCGGGGUUGGUCCUCAACAUCGCUUCAUCCUCUUCAGGGACGCCGCCGUCUCCUGUUGUAAGUAUAAGAAACAGUAAACAAAACAGAGCGAGGACGAGACCGUCGAGGCCCAGCCAAGAACGAGGGCUGGUGGAUUUGGAGGAAGUAGUGGUGGAGAAAUCUUGAUCGUAGCGAAUAUAUUUGAUUGCUGAGAAGGCAAAGGAGAGGCCUUGAGAGAGCUGGACACCCCGGACGACCGGGAGGGGGAUCCAGUGGUAGAUGAAGGACAUGAGGCCGGUGGCGCCAAGGAUGAAGAGGGUGCCGGCUGUGCAGAUUCCGGCGGCGGCAAUUUGGGAGACAGUGAGGUGGGGCGUCUCUGAAACGGCGACGGCCGCGAUGGAUUUCAUGGGCUGGACUGGCAUGGGGAUGCCGAAGAGGAGGCCGGUGAGGAUAUUAUAGAUGGCAGUGAAGAUGAGGGUUGUGCUGAGGUCGAGGUUGCAGACUAGAGUGAGUGCCAAGACGAUGGGGAUGUAGGUGCCCAAGUCGCCGACGGCGCCACUGAGCUCGGAGGACAGAGAGGUUUUAAGGCGGACAGAAGCGGUCCAUGAGCGGGGAGUGCAAUGGUUGCGCCACCACUGACGGGGGCGGACAAGGAGGGGUGUAGCGUUGUCAGUUGCUUCGCCGGCCAUGGUUGGGCAACUGCGCAAUAAGCCAAAAAUUAAAACUGCUACUGGCAGUAGCUACUGGUAGUAGUAUUUGACACUCAUCAUCCUACCAAUGAUAGGAGCAAGUGGCUUGGUAACCGGGCCCAGUCAUCCCAUCAGAAUAAUUCAGCACCGCUGAAAAAGAAGAAACUUUUGAUAUUUUUGACGUCGGCGUGCAAAAUUGUCUUUGGAUUAAUCGACCUUUGGCUUUUGGGAGGGUUACAGUAAUUUGUUCAGCUGCCUGCCUGAGGAGUCGUAGACUCCACUCGACGAGCAUGAUUGAGCGAGACGGGAGGAGACUGAGGGCUGGCUUUGGCCUUUGGGUCAUUCAAGUAGUUAAGGUUCGAGGUGUGCACCAACCAACAAGACACGAUUACUGCAUACUCCGUACCAAAAAAUGAGAAAUUCAAAUGCAAUCAUUGCACCUGAGAAUUUUUUUUUUUUAAAGCUCUUUGUGCACUAGAUCCUAAUUCCCAUGAACUAUUAAGCUAUGUUUUCAGAACCGGACCGGAUAGCGACUCGGCCAAGGUCAGGGGUCAGGGGUCAAUGGGUUCGACCGGGGGUCGAUAGGGGUCGAACCGGAUGACGUCAUAAAUAAAAAUUAUUUAAAAAUUAAAAUAUUAUAUAUAUCAUAUCUAAUAAUAUAUUGAUAUUAAUAAAGGUAUAUUCAUACAUAUUUGAUGUUUCAAAUAUAUUUAACAAGAAAAUACAAAGAAAUUAGAACAAUCAAGUAGCAAUUUAUAUUAUUUAAUAAAUAUUAACAAGUUUAGAAUUAAAAUUAUGAAUUUAAUUGAAAAAUAACAUCAAAUUGUAGGACAAUAUUUAUAAAGUAUCAAAUAU
rnacentral:lncRNA from 1 species